rnacentral:rRNA from 1 species
UACAGAGGGGGCAAGCGUUGUUCGGAAUUACUGGGCGUAAAGGGCGCGUAGGCGGCCCGCUAAGUCGAACGUGAAAUCCCCGGGCUCAACCCGGGAACUGCGUCCGAUACUGGUGGGCUUGAAUCCGGGAGAGGGAUGCGGAAUUCCAGGUGUAGCGGUGAAAUGCGUAGAUAUCUGGAGGAACACCGGUGGCGAAGGCGACAUCCUGGACCGGUAUUGACGCUGAGGCGCGAAAGCCAGGGGAGCAAACGGG